rnacentral:tRNA from 1 species
GGGCCGUUAGCUCAGUUGGCAGAGCACCGGACUUUUAAUCCGGGGGUCGCAGGUUCGAUCCCUGCACGGCCCACCA